rnacentral:lncRNA from 1 species
ACUAAAGGGGAAGUUUAUUUCAAGUCUUUGAAAACUUGUUCCCCAUAUCAUCCAACUGAAAGUCUUGCCCAGGGAACUCUACUCCUGGUACCAGACAUGGUUGCUCUUCACUUGCUGGUCAUGUCUGGUUAGGCGGAUUCAACCUUAACCUAGAGUGUCCAUUCUCAACCUGUGGGUUGUGAUCUCAUUGGCAAACCACUACCUGCAAUAACAUAUACAUUAUGAUUCAUAAGAGAAAUGGCUUCACGGAUGCUUCUCACCUUAUUUGUUCAGUGGAACUCACACACUGCCCAAGCCUGUCUAUGGUCCUCCAAGAAGACUCCAGUUCCCUUCUCUUCUCUCAGGCCCCUGGGACAUGCAGUACCCUGAAGCCUGGCCUGGUGUCACAACAGAACCACGGUGAAUGCUUGCCCGUGUCUUCAGUUAUAGGGUGAUUCAUUCAGCCAAUGUCUCCAGUCCUAGUAAACUUUGCUGCGACCUGCUUGGAGGUUUUCAUUCUGACAUAAUUCUGGAAUUAUCUUUUUCUUCAUAAAGACAGUCAUUACUAUCAGAAAA